UACGGAGGGGGCGAGCGUUAUUCGGAAUUAUUGGGCGUAAAGGGCGCGUAGGCGGCUGUACAAGUCAAAGGUGAAAUCCCUCGGCUCAACUGAGGAACUGCCUUUGAAACUGUACGGCUUGAGGCCGGGAGGGGGUAGCGGAAUUCCCAGUGUAGCGGUGAAAUGCGUAGAUACUGGGAGGAACACCAGUGGCGAAGGCGGCUACCUGGACCGGUUCGUGACGCUGAGGCGCGAAAGCGUGGGUAGCAAACAGG
rnacentral:rRNA from 1 species